rnacentral:rRNA from 1 species
AGAGUUUGAUCCUGGCUCAGAAUGAACGCUAGCGGCAGGCUUAAUACAUGCAAGUCGUGGGGCAGCACAGGUAGCAAUACUGGGUGGCGACCGGCAAACGGGUGCGGAACACGUACGCAACCUUCCUUUAAGUGGGGGAUAGCCCAGGGAAACUUGGAUUAAUACCCCUUAACAUUAUGAGAUGGCAUCAUUUUAUAAUUAAAGCUCCGGCGCUUAAAGAUGGGCGUGCGCCUGAUUAGGUAGUUGGCGGGGUAACAGCCCACCAAGCCUACGAUCAGUAACUGGUGUGAGAGCACGACCAGUCACACGGGCACUGAGACACGGGCCCGACUCCUACGGGAGGCAGCAGUAAGGAAUAUUGGUCAAUGGACGCAAGUCUGAACCAGCCAUGCCGCGUGGAGGAUGACGGCCCUCUGGGUUGUAAACUCCUUUUAUCUGGGAAGAAAUGCAGAUAUUNUUAUCUGUUUGACGGUACCAGAGGAAUAAGCACCGGCUAACUCCGUGCCAGCAGCCGCGGUAAUACGGAGGGUGCAAGCGUUAUCCGGAUUCACUGGGUUUAAAGGGUGCGUAGGUGGAGUGGUAAGUCAGUGGUGAAAUCUCCAAGCUUAACUUGGAAACUGCCGUUGAUACUAUCAUUCUUGAAUAUCGUGGAGGUAAGCGGAAUAU